rnacentral:lncRNA from 9 species
CAUGACCCUUCCCACAGGGUUAGGAAGAGAACUGGAUGAGGAAAUGAUAGCCAUUGGUUAGUCCCACUCUCCCGUAUCCAGACGGCCCUCCCCACUCGACACCUUUCUCCCCUGGGGGCCUAGAGGAAAGUGUCCCCUUGUUCUUGGCCUCUUCCUUUGCUGAUAAAGGAUCUGGCUACCGGAAAGCUCCAGAACCCAAGGAUCACGCCAACCUUGAAUCUUGGCAUUGGACCCAAUCUUAGCAAUUGGAGUUUCUGCCACCCCCCAAAGCCAUCUAGUGAGAGGUGCUGCCAGCUUUGAAGGUUCCCUGCUCUCCCUGGUCCUCUGGUUCUCUUCAGACUCAUCUCGAGAGGAUGGACUGUCCCAGUGGGUCUCCGGUAAGCGCUGCAGUGGCUUCCUUAGCUGCCCUCCCUGGAUACUG